UCAAGUGACUAAGUGCAUGUGGCGGAUGCCUUGGCGAUCACAGGCGAAGAAAGACGCGGCAGCCUGCGAAAAGCUGCGGGGAGCUGGCAAACGAGCUUUGAUCCGCAGAUAUCUGAAUGGGGGAACCCACACCGCAAGGUGUAUCCGUGACUGAAUACAUAGGUUACGGAGGCGAACGAGGAGAACUGAAACAUCUAAGUAUCCUCAGGAAAAGAAAUCAACCGAGAUUCCGGCAGUAGCGGCGAGCGAACCCGGAGGAGCCUAGCUUUUGAUAGUACGAACUUUAGCCGAAAGGUCCUGGAAAGGCCUGCUAUAGUGGGUGAUAGCCCCGUAGGCGAAAGAGUUCGUAUGGUACUAAGGAAGCGAGAAGUAGAGCGGGACACGUGGAAUCCUGUUCGAAGAUGGGGGGACCAUCCUCCAAGGCUAAAUACUCGUGAUCGACCGAUAGUGAACCAGUACCGUGAGGGAAAGGUGAAAAGAACCCCGGGAGGGGAGUGAAAUAGAACCUGAAACCGCAUGCAUACAAACAGUAGGAGCCUCACCAGAGGUGACUGCGUACCUUUUGCAUAAUGGGUCAGCGACUUACAUUCUGUGGCGAGCUUAACCGAAUAGGGGAGGCGCAGCGAAAGCGAGUUCGAAAUGAGCGUCCAGUCGCAGGGUGUAGACCCGAAACCAGAUGAGCUAUCCAUGGCCAGGUUGAAGGUGUGGUAACACACACUGGAGGACCGAACCGACUAGUGUUGCAAAAUUAGCGGAUGAGCUGUGGAUAGGGGUGAAAGGCCAAACAAAUCUGGAGAUAGCUGGUUCUCCCCGAAAACUAUUGAGGUAGUGCCUCGUGUGUCGCUCCAGGGGGUAGAGCACUGUUUUGGCUAGGGGGACAUGGAGUCUUACCAAACCAAGGCAAACUCCGAAUACCUGGAAGCGUAAGCACGGGAGACAGAGCACCGGGUGCUAACGUCCGGACUCAAAAGGGAAACAACCCAGACCGCCGGCUAAGGUCCCCAAUAACAGCUAAGUGGAAAACGAAGUGGAAAGGCCGUGACAACCAGGAAGUUGGCUUAGAAGCAGCCAUCCUUCAAAGAAAGCGUAAUAGCUCACUGGUCGAGUCCUUCUGCGCGGAAGAUGUAACGGGGCUAAGCUGUUAACCGAAGCCGCGGAUGCACUGGUUAUCCAGUGCGUGGUAGGGGAGCGUUCUGUAAGUCUGCGAAGGCGGUUCGAGAGGACUGCUGGAGAUAUCAGAAGUGCGAAUGCUGACAUGAGUAACGUUAAAGCAGGUGAAAAGCCUGCUCGCCGUAAGCCCAAGGAUUCCUGCUCUACGUUCAUCGGAGCAGGGUGAGUCGGCUCCUAAGGUCAGGCCGAAAGGCGUAGCCGAUGGGAAUCAGGUUAAUAUUCCUGAACCUGCGUCAGAUGCGAUGGGGGGACGGAGCAUGAAAGAUCAUCCGGGUGUUGGAUGUCCCGGUUGACGAGCGUAGGAGGUCUGCAGGCAAAUCCGCAGACGCAUCUCCAAGGCGAAGUCACGUGCCGCCACGGCGGCGAAGUGAUCGGAAGUGCUUCCAAGAAAAGCCUCUAAGCACCAGUCUGACGCGGACCGUACCGCAAACCGACACUGGUGGGCGAGCUGAAUAUGCUCAGGCGCUUGAGAGAACUCGGGAGAAGGAACUCGGCAAAUUGACACCGUAACUUCGGAAGAAGGUGUGCCGUAGUACCGUGAGAGGAGAGACACCUUGAGCGGGAAUCGGUCUCAGAGAAUAGGUGGCUGCGACUGUUUAUUAAAAACACAGCACUCUGCAAAGUCGAAAGACGACGUAUAGGGUGUGAUGCCUGCCCGGUGCUGGAAGAUUAAUUGAUGGGGUGAGAGCCCUUGAUCGAAGUCCCAGUAAACGGCGGCCGUAACUAUAACGGUCCUAAGGUAGCGAAAUUCCUUGUC
rnacentral:rRNA from 1 species